CCAGACUCCUACGGGAGGCAGCAGUGGGGAAUAUUGGGCAAUGGGCGCAAGCCUGACCCAGCAACGCCGCGUGAAGGAAGAAGGCUUUCGGGUUGUAAACUUCUUUUAAGAGGGACGAAACAAAUGACGGUACCUCUUGAAUAAGCCACGGCUAACUACGUGCCAGCAGCCGCGGUAAUACGUAGGGGGCAAGCGUUAUCCGGAUUCACUGGGCGUAAAGGGAGCGCAGGCGGCACGGCAAGUCUGAUGUGAAAGCCCGGGGCUCAACCCCGGGACUGCAUUGGAAACUGCCGGGCUGGAGUGUCGGAGGGGUAAGCGGAAUUCCUAGUGUAGCGGUGAAAUGCGUAGAUAUUAGGAGGAACACCAGUGGCGAAGGCGGCUUACUGGACGAUCACUGACGCUGAGGCUCGAAAGCGUGGGGAGCAAACAGGAUUAGAUACCCGCGUACCG
rnacentral:rRNA from 1 species